GGCGGUUCUCAGGUGACACACCCGGAAUUGGGCUCCCUCCUCUUUGGUUCCAGGUGGAUCACCUGAGAACCGCA
rfam:Myotis brandtii contig319849, whole genome shotgun sequence.